rnacentral:rRNA from 1 species
UACGUAGGGUGCGAGCGUUAAUCGGAAUUACUGGGCGUAAAGCGUGCGCAGGCGGUUUGUUAAGACAGGUGUGAAAUCCCCGGGCUCAACCUGGGAAUGGCGCUUGUUACUGGCAGGCUGAGAGUGUGUCAGAGGGAGGUAGAAUUCCACGUGUAGCAGUGAAAUGCGUAGAGAUGUGGAGGAAUACCGAUGGCGAAGGCAGCCUCCUGGGAUAACACUGACGCUCAUGCACGAAAGCGUGGGGAGCAAACAGG